rnacentral:rRNA from 1 species
UACAGAGACUGCAAGCGUUAUUCGGAUUCACUGGGCGUAAAGGGUGCGCAGGCGGCCGUGUGUGUGAGGCGUGAAAGCCUGGAGCUUAACUCCAGAAUUGCACCUCAAACUAUACGGCUAGAGCAUUGGAGAGGGUAGCGGAAUUCACGGUGUAGCAGUGAAAUGCGUAGAUAUCGUGAGGAACACCAGAGGCGAAGGCGGCUACCUGGACAAUUGCUGACGCUCAGGCACGAAAGCGUGGGGAGCAAAAGGG